GCGAGCCGUGUGCAUGGAAAUCGUGCCCGCACGGUUCUGAGGGGGACCGUUGGAAAAGGGCUCUAUUCAGUUGUUCAUGUACAAGUGAGUAGGGCACCUCGCUGGCGGUCUACCCUAC
rfam:Ktedonobacter racemifer DSM 44963 strain SOSP1-21 Krac_Contig206, whole genome shotgun sequence.